AUUGCGCAGCUACCAUGCAGUCGAGCGGAACGACAAUAUUGUUUCUUCUGGGGAUUAAUGGGCGUCGAGCGGCGGACGGGUGAGUAAUGCCUACGAAAUUGCCUUGAUGUGGGGGAUAACCAUUGGAAACGAUGGCUAAUACCGCAUAAUGCCUACGGGCCAAAGAGGGGGAUCUUCGGACCUCUCGCGUCAAGAUAUGCCUAGGUGGGAUUAGCUAGUUGGUGAGGUAAUGGCUCACCAAGGCGACUAUCCCUAGCUGGUCUGAGAGGAUGAUCAACCACACUGGAACUGAGACACGGUCCAGACUCCUACGGGAGGCAACAUUGGGGAAUAUUGCACAAUGGGCGAAAGCCUGAUGCAGCCAUGCCGCGUGGAUGAAGAAGGCCUUCGGGUUGUAAAGUACUUUCAGUUGUGAGGAAGGGUGUGUAGUUAAUAUCUGCGCAUCUUGACGUUAACAACACAAGAAGCACCGGCUAACUCCGUGCCAGCAUCCGCGGUAAUACAGAGGGUGCGAGCGUUAAUCGGAAUUACUGGGCGUAAAGCGCAUGCAUGUGGUUCAUUAAGUCACAUGUGAAAGCCCGGCGCUCAACCUCGGAACUGCGUUUGAAACUGGUGAACUAGAGUGCUGUAGAGGGGGGUAUAAUUUCAGGUGUAGCGGUGAAAUGCGUAGAGAUCUGAAUGAAUACCAGUGGCGAAUGCGGCCCCCUGGACAGACACUGACACUCACAUGCGAAAGCGUGGGGAGCAAACAGGAUUAUAUACCCUGGUAGUCCACGCCGUAAACUAUGUCUACUUGGAUGUUGUGGCCUUGAGCCGUGGCUUUCCGAGCUAACGCGUUAAGUAGACCGCCUGUCGAGUACGGUCGCAAGAUUAGAACUCACAUGAAUUGACGGGGGCCCGCACAAGCGGUGGUAGCAUGCGAUUUAAUUCGAUGCAACGCGAAUACUCUUAACCUACUCUUGACAUCCAGAGAAACCAGCGUAUACGCUUCGUGUGCCUCUCGAGGAAACGUCUGCAGACUGUGCUGCAUCACUGCUCGUCAGCUCGAUGUGUGAUAUGGUCGCGCUACGUCCCGCAACGAUCAGUCAUCGCGUAUCCAUCGAUUGGCUGGUCGAGUACUGUCAGAACUCCGACGAUGACUGGACGUGAUAGCUGAAGAAAGUGUGGACUCACGUCAGUCAUCAUGAUCCGGUACUAGCCUAGGUCUACAACAACUGUC
rnacentral:rRNA from 1 species